AUGAAUACUUAUGGUAAAAAAGAUAGGGAAAUUCUUGAUUAUUCAAUGUCGGAUCGAAUCAUGUCCAAUGGCCAUUGGAAUUUUAUCUAUCCUUCUAUUUUUCAAGAUAAUUCAGAUUUGUUGGCGAAAAAGCGAAGAAAUAGGUUCGUCAUUCCAUUACAAUAUCAUCAAGAACAAGAGAAAGAACUAAUAUCCUGUUUUGGGAUUUCGAUUGAAAUCCCCCUUAUGGGUGUUUUACGUAGAAAUACUAUUUUUGCUUAUUUUGACGAUCCCCGAUACAGAAAAGAUAAAAAGGGUUCAGGAAUUGUUAAAUUUAGAUAUAGGACCCUAGAAGAAGAAUAUAGGACUCGAGCGGAAGACUGA
rnacentral:rRNA from 1 species